rnacentral:rRNA from 1 species
GAUGAACGCUGGCGGCGUGCUUAACACAUGCAAGUCGAACGGGAUCCAGGCAGCUUGCUGCCUGGUGAGAGUGGCGAACGGGUGAGUAAUGCGUGACCGACCUGCCCCAUACACCGGAAUAGCUCCUGGAAACGGGUGGUAAUGCCGGAUGCUCCGACUCCUCGCAUGGGGUGUCGGGAAAGAUUUCAUCGGUAUGGGAUGGGGUCGCGUCCUAUCAGGUAGUCGGCGGGGUAACGGCCCACCGAGCCUACGACGGGUAGCCGGCCUGAGAGGGCGACCGGCCACAUUGGGACUGAGAUACGGCCCAGACUCCUACGGGAGGCAGCAGUGGGGAAUAUUGCACAAUGGGCGCAAGCCUGAUGCAGCGACGCCGCGUGCGGGAUGACGGCCUUCGGGUUGUAAACCGCUUUUGAUCGGGAGCAAGCCUUCGGGUGAG